rnacentral:rRNA from 1 species
AUUGAACGCUGGCGGAAUGCUUUACACAUGCAAGUCGAACGGCAGCACGGGGCAACCUGGUGGCGAGUGGCGAACGGGUGAGUAAUAUAUCGGAACGUGCCCAAUCGUGGGGGAUAACGUAGCGAAAGUUACGCUAAUACCGCAUACGAUCUACGGAUGAAAGCGGGGGAUCGCAAGACCUCGCGCGAAUGGAGCGGCCGAUAUCAGAUUAGGUAGUUGGUGGGGUAAAGGCUCACCAAGCCAACGAUCUGUAGCUGGUCUGAGAGGACGACCAGCCACACUGGAACUGAGACACGGUCCAGACUCCUACGGGAGGCAGCAGUGGGGAAUUUUGGACAAUGGGCGCAAGCCUGAUCCAGCCAUUCCGCGUGCAGGAUGAAGGCCUGGUUGUAACUAGCUUUGUACGGACGAAACGGUACUGCCCUAACUACGGUCGGGCGUAAUGACGGUACCGUAACGAAUAAGACACCGGCUAACUACGUGCCAGCAGCCGCGGUAACU